rnacentral:rRNA from 1 species
AGAACGAACGCUGGCGGCAGGCUUAGCACAUGCAAGUCGAACGGUUGUAGCAAUACAGCAGUGGCAGACGGGUGAGUAACACGUGGGAACCUUCCUAGGGGUACGGAACAACUCAGGGAAACUUGAGCUAAUACCGUAUACGUCCGUGAGGAGAAAGAUUUAUCGCCCUAGACGGGCCCGCGUAGGAUUAGGUAGUUGGUGAGGUAACGGCUCACCAAGCCUACGAUCCUUAGCUGAUCUGAGAGGAUGAUCAGCCACACUGGGACUGAGACACGGCCCAGACUCCUACGGGAGGCAGCAGUGGGGAAUCUUGGACAAUGGGCGCAAGCCUGAUCCAGCCAUGCCGCGUGAGUGAAAGAAGGCCUUCGGGUUGUAAAG